ensembl:lncRNA
GUUUUUAUUGCAGGCAUAACGAGAACAGCCAAAGGACAGUACGUCCUUAGAAACCCAUCCCCGACCACAGAGGGGACUACUGAAUGAAGACCCAGCUGCUACUUGGCCUGAAUGUUGUGUUUUCAAUAAAUACUUCUUGUCCAGUACAGACUAAUCAACACUAUCUACAGGUUCUCCUGAUGUAAUAGCUUUAUGUAAAAUUACCUGGUACCGUAAGUUAUGUCUGAAAAUAUUGUGUUAUUGUAAGGUGAUAAAUCCAGAUGUUAACAAAAGCUUCAUGUUGCCAAAAUUUUCAGUCUGACAAAUUACAUGGAAGGGUUGGGUAUGUAUUUUAAAUGUUAGUAUUCAGAAAACAACAGUAUAUAAUUUACAUAUUUGUUUAUUUAAAGUCUGCGGAUUAGUCUAAGACUGCAGAGCAGGCUUACAGCUAAGCACACCAGUCUGUUUGAGUAAAUAAGUACAUUUGAGUGUUAAUUAAAAAGUUGUUCCGUGGACAAUUUUUGAGUGAUGCAAGUAACAUUGGUCAUCAAAUACAGUAUUACAUAAUUUCUUUUAAACAUGUUAAGCAGCAGGAAUCCCUAAAGUUUUAUGUCGAAAUACUUAAAUAAUAUAUAGAGCCUAAACAUAUGUUCAAUUAAGGCCUGUGGUCAGCCGGUUUUCCAAAAUUAUCUGUAGUCAUUGUGGUCAUCCAUAAUUCUUAUUAUACAUUUACUAUAAGCUUAAUACAGCUGUAUAACACAAGCAUUAUGCGGUUUCAGUGCUCCUAGUUUAUUUUUACCUGAAACGUGUCUUAAAUGAAAAACCUCAAGGGUUGAAAUGCCAUUGCACAUUUCUUUUUUUAAAAUAUAUAAGUCCUCAAAUUGUGACGGUUGUUCUUAAUCCAACAAUUAAAGUUUCUUUAUACUCUGGACUCCUGCAUCAUCCUUUUCUUUCUUUUUCUUUUUUUUUUCUUUUUAAAGAUAUGAACUAACUUCAUGGGGCAUAGAUGGACCUUUCUAGAGAAAGCUUGUAGUGGGAUGUCCUGUUACAGAUGUGAUUGAAAGUGUAGAAGUGGACCAGAUCUGUGUGAAUCAGGUCUUGAUCUUGACAUCACAUUUACGGCUAUUCCAGCUCCCCCCUACAGAAGGGCAUUGUUUACACAAAUCAAACCAUCUGCAACCCAAACAGGUGAAAAUGAAACAGAAA